rnacentral:rRNA from 1 species
AUACGUAGGGGGCAAGCGUUAUCCGGAUUUACUGGGUGUAAAGGGAGCGUAGGUGGCUCGAUAAGUCAGAAGUGAAAGCCCAGAGCUCAACUCUGGGACUGCUUUGAAACUAUCGGGCUAGAGUGCAGGAGAGGUAAGUGGAAUUCCUAGUGUAGCGGUGAAAUGCGUAGAUAUUAGGAGGAACACCAGUGGCGAAGGCGACUUACUGGACUGUAACUGACGCUGAGUCACGAAAGCGUGGGUAGC